rnacentral:lncRNA from 1 species
CUUUCCUGCUUCGGGCAAUUCAUCUUCACUGAACCACAGGUUGCUGCAGGCGGUAAUGUUCCCCACUAUGCUACCAAAGUGAUCCACAGUUACUUCAUGAUCCACAUAAGCCUGCUCCAAUACUUUCAAAAGGGUAUCUCUGUGAGCAGCGGAACUCAGGAGUAGAGACAAAAUGGAUAUCUUCGACGGAGUUUGCAGCAGCUGAUCUACAAUCUUAUAAUCACUUCUUUUGAUCAACCUCAAAAUCUCGUCCAGAUUAGAAUCCUCUAUAGACCGGCCUGGUUGGCUCGCGUCUCUGUUAACGGGAGAAACAUCAGUCGGGGUUGGCUUGUCAAUGGGUGGCACGGUAGGC